rnacentral:rRNA from 1 species
CAGCAGCCGCGGUAAUACGUAGGUGGCAAGCGUUGUCCGGAAUUAUUGGGCGUAAAGGGCUCGCAGGCGGUUUCUUAAGUCUGAUGUGAAGGCCCCCGGCUCAACCGGGGAGGGUCAUUGGAAACUGGGAAACUUGAGUGCAGAAGAGGAGAGUGGAAUUCCACGUGUAGCGGUGAAAUGCGUAGAGAUGUGGAGGAACACCAGUGGCGAAGGCGACUCUCUGGUCUGUAACUGACGCUGAGGAGCGAAAGCGUGGGGAGCGAACAGGAUUAGAUACCCCAGUAGUCCCUGUCUCUUAUAC